rnacentral:lncRNA from 1 species
AAGCGGCGGACGGAAAUGGAGGUCGAUGGAGGACGGAGGGUUCGAACGGUGGGUCGACGUGGUUGAAGAAAGAGAGAGACGGAGGCGCGGAGGGUUCCCGACGGACGCGGCGAUAAUGCUGGAUGUGAGAGCGGGUUCACGGUGAAACAGAGGUGGGUUGUGGCGUGCGUUUUGGUUCGCCGGUGAUUUGUGGUGGUGGGAGUUGUUGGGUGAAGAAGAGGAACAGUAGUCCUCUGUGAGAGAAAAAGUGGAUCUCUAGGAAGAAGAUGAUCAAUCCCUCUUUUUUUAUUAUUUUUUCUUUUAUUAUUUUAUCCCCCCCUUUUUUUUGUAGCAGAGAGGGAGAUAUAAAGUGGAAACAAAACCAUCCCUUCAU